GAGGGUGUAGCUCAGUGGUAGAGCACUUGCCUUGCAUGCAUUAAGCCCUGGGCUUGAUCCUCAGCACACCA
rnacentral:tRNA from 1 species